AAGUAAGUUCACUAAGUAACUUCACUGAUAAGUUUGGCAAAAAUACUCACCAUUGCGAUUCUCCGUGCCUAUCAAGUUGAUUCACGUCGUUUUGAUGAUGGCCUCGAACAAGUCGCUACAUU